rnacentral:rRNA from 1 species
AUCAACCGAGAUUCCCCCAGUAGCGGCGAGCGAACGGGGAGCAGCCCAGAGUCAACAUCAAUAUUUACCGCAGGAGAAGGGUCUGGAAAGGCCAGCAAUAAAGGGUGACAGCCCCGUAUCUGAAACGGUAAGUGUUGUGAACUCGAAGAGUAGGGCGGGACACGUGUUAUCCUGUCUGAAUAUGGGGGCACCAUCCUCCAAGGCUAAAUACUCCUGACUGACCGAUAGUGAAUCAGUACCGUGAGGGAAAGGCGAAAAGAACCCCGGCGAGGGGAGUGAAAUAGAACCUGAAACCGUGUACGUACAAGCAGUGGGAGCACCCGAAAGGGUGUGACUGCGUACCUUUUGUAUAAUGGGUCAGCGACUUAUAUUCUGUAGCAAGGUUAACCGCAUAGGGGAGCCGUAGGGAAACCGAGUCUUAACUGGGCGUUAAGUUGCAGGGUAUAGACCCGAAACCCGGUGAUCUAGCCAUGGGCAGGUUGAAGGUUGGGUAAC